rnacentral:pre_miRNA from 1 species
AAUUUCAACUGAAAAAGUCACGAACAUAAAAGUUGUAAAACUCAUCAUCAAGACAUACAACUUUUGUUUUCAUCAUUUCUUCAUCUGACAAAGUCCUAGUAACAUUGUUUACAAAAUUUGCAUAUCUCUCUUAUAGUUUAUAAAACCAUAUGAGAGAUGUAAAUUUUGUGAACAAUAUUACUAUCACUUUGUCGGAUGAGGAAAUUAUCAAAAUAAAAGUUAUAGAUCUUGAUGAGUUAUACAACUUUCUUGUUGAUGACUUUUUCACAUGAAAUC